ACCAGAAGGCCAAAUUAUUUAUUUAAAAUAAACUAAGCUUUUUUUUUCAACGGUUGAAUCCAUUACAGUGGUCAGGUAAGGGCCACUUAUUGGAUUUUCUUCACCGUCUGUAUGUUAGAUAGGCUAUUUUUCAUUCAGUUAGGCCUAGAUAUCUAGCGCGCGAAUAUACAAGUUCCUUUUUUCUAUGAUUGUAUCUUUAUAGUGGUCAGGUAAGGACCAUUAAUAUACUUUGUCCUUCUCUUUAUUCCACAACACCGGUCACAAAUUGAAUCAGGAAACCACUGUAUAUUGUAGUAACAAACCUAGCUCCGCUAGGAAGACUUCUUUUCUUUUCAGCAACUUGCAAUAGAUUAGGAGGACCGGCAAGCCAGAGUGCUCAUGUCAGGAGCUGAUGACGCGGAGGAACCGGAGGCAGGGAGGAGGAACACUGGGUGGCUGGAUGACCCUGCUUAUCGGGCGACCCAUUCCUGCUUUCCCAGAUGACGGUCUGCAAGAUGAGAUGUCAUUCUGGACGAAUCAUUUUUGAAUCCCAAGGAACCGGAAGCAGGGAGGAGGACCAACGGAAGGACUGAUGACCUGCUUGCAGAGCAAGUCUUCACCAAUUCUUGAGAUUUCUCUUGCUUCAUGUGAGCAGCAGAGACGAUGAAGUGUGAUUUUCUAAGUAAAUAUAGCCCAUUGCGCUCAUAACGUGAAUAGAAUCUCCCUCAGGAACUCCAUCACACUUACCACAGCA